UACGGAGGGUCCGAGCGUUAUCCGGAUUCACUGGGUUUAAAGGGUGCGUAGGUGGGCAGGUAAGUCAGUGGUGAAAUCUCCGAGCUUAACUCGGAAACUGCCGUUGAUACUAUUUGUCUUGAAUAUUGUGGAGGUAAGCGGAAUAUGUCAUGUAGCGGUGAAAUGCUUAGAUAUGACAUAGAACACCAAUUGCGAAGGCAGCUUACUACACAACGAUUGACGCUGAGGCACGAAAGCGUGGGGAUCAAACAGG
rnacentral:rRNA from 1 species